rnacentral:rRNA from 1 species
GAUGAACGCUGGCGGCGUGCCUAAUACAUGCAAGUCGAGCGAACGGACGAGAAGCUUGCUUCUCUGAUGUUAGCGGCGGACGGGUGAGUAACACGUGGAUAACCUACCUAUAAGACUGGGAUAACUUCGGGAAACCGGAGCUAAUACCGGAUAAUAUUUUGAACCGCAUGGUUCAAAAGUGAAAGACGGUCUUGCUGUCACUUAUAGAUGGAUCCGCGCUGCAUUAGCUAGUUGGUAAGGUAACGGCUUACCAAGGCAACGAUGCAUAGCGGACCUGAGAGGGUGAUCGGCCACACUGGAACUGAGACACGGUCCAGACUCCUACGGGAGGCAGCAGUAGGGAAUCUUCCGCAAUGGGCGAAAGCCUGACGGAGCAACGCCGCGUGAGUGAUGAAGGUCUUCGGAUCGUAAAACUCUGUUAUUAGGGAAGAACAUAUGUGUAAGUAACUGUGCACAUCUUGACGGUACCUAAUCAGAAAGCCACGGCUAACUACGUG